CCCUUCCCUUCCCCAUGCUGACCUAAAACCCGCGUCUCCCCCGCGACCGUCUCUUCCUCUCCUGCCGCCGCCGCCGCGCCCCCCUUCUCGCCUUCCCCAUGCUCGCAACCACGACCAUGUCGCUACCGACGCCGCGUCCACCGCUCCCCCGCCUCGAACCAGCCGCCGCCAUGGAGCCUCCGCUCCCCCGCCUCAUCCCUCCGCCCAUGCUCUCGCACCUCGCGUGCGGCCGCCGCCUUUUGUCCACAACCCUCCCUUCUCGGUCUGCUCGGCCACCAAGCGGCGGCGGAGCGGGUUGAUAGAGAUGGCGAGGGUGAGUCCAUGGCCAGAUGAGGGAGGAAGACAAAUGACGGGUGGAUCGGGUGCUCGAGGAGAGGAGGAAUUCGCCCCUGGGCCCAUGCCGCCGGCCUCCUCGUGCUGCUCGCAUCUCCCUCAUCGUCCCCGUCACCAUCUACCACUCCUCUCCCGUGCCCAGACCGCGGGAAGAAGCCGAGAAGGGAGGCCGGCCGGCGGCGGCCACGCUCGACAAGAUCCUCGCAUUGGCGUCAAGGGAGAGGAGGUCUACGUCCCCCGCCUGUGUGCUUCUUCUCGGGACGCCGAUGCCACGGAGCUCGUCAAGAUUUUGCAGGGAUGUAUAUAUAUGGUGAUGUUUCACUGGGAUCCUCAAAUGUUUCAGUUCGUACUUAGCAGGAUCACCUUGAGCAACGACUCAAUUAAUAUUCUCACUGAUCCAGUUUACUGAAGAACUUGUGACCCAGUUCCAGGACUCCUAUGGACUAAGGUACUCUAGCUGCUUGCAUCUUUCAGAGGAUCUAAUUAGAACCAAUUCAAUGUGUGGUUUAUCUUCUUAGAACUAUUAGUAUUCACUCAAGCAGGAGCUGGCUUCAGUUGGAAUAAGUGUGCUAGAAAGUGUGGCCAAUAGAUUGUACGUCGGCAAAAAAUUGGUCCAUUGUGAACUAAAGGAAUGUUGUAUAGGUUGUUACAAAUCUACAAUAACCAGCUUAGCGAUUCACUAAUGACUUAUGGAAGCACACCCGAUGCCAGAGACCAGAAGAAAUUAUCAUUUUCAGAUUGGUAGUAGUCCCCCCUGAGAUUAUUGUGUGCAUUUCCAAUUGGUAGUGGUCAUUGCUUUUAAGCAGAGUAUUGUUCUGUCGAAAUUGGUGAUCUAAGCUACAAACUAAUUCUCGUGCUCGACAGCGACUCUAAUUUACUUUGGAACCCUGGUUUUUGUGUCUUGAUUUUAGGGAUGGGGUUAUGCCAAUUUAACCAGGUUCUGAACAUUCAGGUAGCUCAGACCAUGGAGGUAAACAUAAAAGGUAUUUGAUUUAUCAUGAUCCAGUUACAGGAAUGCAUGGAUUUUUUUGGCAAGCAUUAUAUAUCGUUGAAGAUUUGCCAUUUUUUCAAGUUCCUUGUAUGCUAAUCGGUAACCUUUAGUUUUGGAUGUAUAAUAAGUACCUCCUGCUGAGCAAAGUGUGUGAUAUUCCAGAGUAUCUUUUUCAUGUAUAAUAAGUACUACCUUCCAGCUAAGUGAAGAUGCAUCUUUUUCAGCAUGUGCAAACUAAUUUUUGGUUAUAUCUAUUUCGACGAUGUGUUUGUAUAUCUGACAGAAGUAGCUCUUUUUUGUUUAUGAAUAUGAGCUGGACCAUCCAAAAACACUUCGUUCAAAUGCAGAGAUGUUGGAUGUAGUAUCUGAUUAUCUGUUCUCCAUUUUUGCAUCCUGUAUGCAUCUCACAUUCUUUUUAUUUUUAGUGUGAUAAAAAUAUUCUUUUUUGAACAUGCUAUCACUUUGUCAUAUCAUGGAGAAACUUCUCUCUUUCUCUUAUUUGGAUACAAUGUGUUCCCUAUGGAGAAAACAUGGUGUUUUGGUCUGUUACAUCUUAUUUUUCAGGUGCCCCCAGCUAUCAGGUUUGUAUUGGAUAGAGUAAUACCACCUUAUUUACUGGCAAAGGGUCUGAUUUUACAUGUAAGCCUACAAAAUAUCCUUGGUGAUGCUAAAAUUUAUCUUUUUGUUAGGAUUUUCUCAUUGUAACUGAAAAGUCUGAUCCUUGGUCAUAUCUGUUUAGAGAUUAUUGAUGAGAUAUAUGUUGGACAGUUUCGUGCCUGCUGAUGAAACCUAAUUUAAGUAUCUUGAGGUAUUGAACUACCAUUUGAAUGUUAAUAGCAGGACUGAGGCAGUAUGUUCUAUUUCCUUUUUAGAAGUAAAAUAUCCAAGGACUCUGGAUGAAAAACAAUUACAAUCCUUAUCCACAAAUAUUUUUAUAUCAUGGUAAUUCCAACAUCAUCUGUCACCCUCUGGACUGCAGGGCGAGAUAUCGAUCAAAUAUGAACCUGUCUAUCUGCUCAGACCAGGUGAUUAGUCUCUCCUUGCUAUUUUUCUUGAGGUGUGUGCAUCUAUCUGGACAAUUUAAUGAAAAUAUAUUGCUCAUACAAACCAUCACUACAUGUUAGUUCACUUUAACCCUAAUCAGUCAAAAGGUUAUCCCUUUUGCAUUUCAUGGACAUAAAGGUUUGGUGUUGACUGUCGAUCUUUUGUUAACAUGGGACCUUAAUACCGUAGGGAGUGUUUUUUUAUAUGUUCGGCACAACUGUAUAUUCCUCUGUUCCAGAUCCAGAUCCAGCUCUGUUCGUAGUUCAUGCCUGCUAAGACAUGUUCAAUUCCUUCCGAUAUGCUUUUGAAUAUGUUUUCAGUGAUGCCAUAUAGCUAUAAAUACUAUAUUUGCAUAAGGCCAGUAGGAUAUAUGCUUUAAUGCCCUUAAUUAGUUCUGAAAUGUUUAGCAUGGUCUUUGUCAAUCUGCUUUAUCCCAUUCAAAAAAGCCACAUGGUUGACUCUUGUGCUAUGCCUAGGCUAUCUAGAAACUGUUGAUUUCUGUGUGUGUGGAUACUGUUCUCUUCGUAAACUAAUUUUACUACUUGGCUCUGUUCAUAUCUUCAUGAUAUUGUACCUUCUUUUCAUUGUUAGCUUGCUAAAGGAAUGUUAGAUUCUUGUUGCGUGUCCAUUCCAAGGCCUCCCUCGUUAUUCUUAAUGCACACUGUAUUUGUGCCUUCUACCAGCCCCCUCGGUCUAUCUUUCCAAAAACAUCCUCUUGCUGAAGUAAUGUUUCAGAAGCUCGGCCUCCCCAAACCAGUCUACCAUGUGCGGCUGCUUGAGCAGAGAGGAUAUAGAUCACAGGUUGAAUUACCGUACAAAAGAAUGUUUCCAAGCUUCAGCACGCCGGGUUAGACUGUCAAGCCCCAUAUGUGUGGAUGGGAGGACAUCAAUGAAUUCUGCAGCCGAACGAGCCAUUGAAUAUAUGCAAACCAGUGAGAGCAAGGUGUUUGUUGACUAUAACUACUACCAGCUGCAACAGCAGAAACAGGCACACGAAGGAGUAUCAGGAAGGCUGUUAGAAUAAAUAGAAGAAAUCAACCAGCGCAACCAAACUAUCAAACAGAUAACUAGAGAAGCAUCCAACUAUCUGGAAGAAGUGCAUGAUGCAUCAAACAAAAUUCAUGGUCUUGCUGCCAUUGCCUUGGACCAUGUUUCCUCAGUGUCUCUUUUUGAUUUCAGGCAGGCUAUUCUAGAGAUUCAUGAUGCAGUUGUUGCACUUCAAAACACUACAUCUACUGCACGUGUCUCACUAGAGGAAAAAGGCAUGUACUCAGAGACGAUCAUGUGGCAGAUCCAGUCUACAGUGGCGUUUCUGGUGAUGAAACUGAUGAAUACUAUCAUCAUGAUGACUAUGGUCACUAUGUGCGAUCCCCAUGAGCAUGUUGUCCAGCCUGCUGAGCUAUCUGGUCAACAUGUGAAGCUCUAUAUGCAUAGCUUCACCACGAAGGCUUGCUUCUUCUUAGCAAGAACCAGUCUGGUUACUAUGUUUAGUCUACUGGUUUAUCUAAAUAAAAUGUGAAGCUCUAUGCUUACAGCUUCACUUUAGGAACUGUCUCCUUUUCAGACUACUCUCUGGUCAUGUAUAAAUAUGGGAUCUAUUGUACUAUCUAAAACCAAUGUAAUUUAUAUAUGUUGCAUCUUCUGAAA